rnacentral:lncRNA from 1 species
GACCCCCGCUGUGCCACCAAGUGUCACCUUUAUUGCCGGGGUGGGAAUGGCGGGGGUCAGCAGGGGUGGCCUCGGUGGCCUCGGUGUCCCCUGUGGGUCCCGAGGUGGCCUCGGUGUCCCCAUGGAGCUCUUGUACCCCCCCCCCACCCCCCAGUUUGGCUCUGUUCGCCCCAGUUCAUCCCAGUGCCCCCCCCCCAGUUCGUUGUGGUGCACCCCCAGUUCAUCCCAGUGCACUCCCAGUUCGUCCUGGUGCACUCCCAGUUCAUCCCAGGGCUCCCCAGUUUGUUCUGGUGCACCCCCAGUUCAUUAUGGUGCACUCCCAGUUCAUCCCAGUUCAUCCCAGCGUGCCCCAGUUUGCCCUGGUGCACUCCCAGUUCAUCCAGGUGUGCCCCAGUUUGCUCUGGUGCAUUCCCAGUUCAUCCCAGUGCCCCCCAGUUCAUCCAGGUGCACUCCCAGUUCAUCCCAGUGCGCCCCAGUUUGCUCUGGUGCAUUCCCAGUUCAUCCUGGUGCACUCCCAGUCCAUGCUGGUGCAUUCCCAGAUUGUCACAGUGUCCCCCAGUUUGUUCUGGUGCACUCCCAGUUCAUCCUCACUCGUUCCAGUUCAUCCAGGUGCACUCCCAGUCCAUCCCAGUGCACUCUCAAUUCAUCCAGGUGCACUCCCAGUCCAUCCCAGUCCAUCCAGGUGCACUCCCAGUGCCUCCCAGUCCAUACUGGUGCACUCCCAGUCCAUGCUGGUGCACUCCCAGUGCAUCCCAGUCCAUCCUGGUGCAUCCCAGUCCAUCCAGGUGCACUCCCAGUCCAUCCCAGUCCAUCCAGAUGAACUCCCAGUGCCUCCCAGUCCAUCCAGGUGCACUUCCAGUUCAUUCCAGUUCAUCCCAGUGCAUUCCAGUCCAUCCCAGUCCAUCCAGAUGCACUCCCAGUGCCUCCCAGUUCAUUCAGGUGCACUCCCAGUGCACCCCAGUCCAUCCAGGUGCACUCCCAGUCCAUCCCAGUCCAUCCAGAUGCACUCCCAGUGCCUCCCAGUUCCUCCCAGUCCAUCCCAGCCCGCCCCCCACC